GGUUGCGAUCAUACCAACACUAAUACACCGGAUCCCAUCAGAACUCCGCAGUUAAGCGUGCUUGGACGAGAGUAGUACUAGGAUGGGUGACCCAUUGGGAAGUAAUCGUGUUGCAACCC
rnacentral:rRNA from 1 species